UGGGGGAUAUUGCACAAUGGGCGAAAGCCUGAUGCAGCGACGCCGCGUGGGGGAUGAAGGCCUUCGGGUUGUAAACUUCUUUUGCUCUGAACAAGGCGCACCAUGGGGUGUGUUGAGUGUAGGGGUUGAUUAGCGCCGGCUAACUUCGUGCCAGCAGCCGCGGUAAUACGUAGGGCGCGAGCGUUGUCCUGAAUUAUUGGGCGUAAAGGGCUUGUAGGUGGCUGGUUGCGUCUGUCGUGAAAGCUCAUGGCUUAACUGUGGGUUUGCGGUGGGUACGGGCUGGCUUGAGUGCAGUAGGGGAGGCUGGAAUUCCUGGUGUAGCGGUGGAAUGCGCAGAUAUCAGGAGGAAUACCGGUGGCGAAGGCGGGUCUCUGGGCUGUUACUGACACUGAGGAGCGAAAGCAUGGGGAGCGAACAGG
rnacentral:rRNA from 1 species